CCCCUCUGGGAACUGCUGAGUCAUAAGUACCAGGGGUCGAACUGGGGACCUUGAGCUUGUGAGGCAGGCGGCACCACUGAGCUACAUCCCCAGCCCCGACCUCUGUAUUCUUACUAGUGUCUUUGUCUUAAAGUAUAUCUUAUUUGUUAUUGACAUAGCUUUAGCAGUACAAUUAGUAUUUUGCCUUUAAUGUGAACAUUUCUCUGUCAUCAUGUUCUAGGUAUAUUUCUUGUAAACAGCAUGGAAGAGGAUUUUUAAGAAUCCAGUCUGUCUAAUCCUCCAUCUGUAUUGUCACUAAUGGCAAAAUACAUGAAAGUGCACUACAACUACUAGGAUAGUUGGAUUUAAUUUUAUCACUUUCAUUUUUUAUUCCACUCAUUCUACUCAUUUGAAAUAAACAAAACUGAAUUCAUUGCCAGCACAUCUGUACUACAAGAAGAAUGAAAGGAAUUUCUUCAGGCAGAAGGAAAUGAUGGCAGGUGGCAAUUCGCAUCCACAAAGAAAUGAAGCUUUAGUGGUAAAAUAUAGAUGGCUUGUCCCUAUAUUGUAAAUGUAUUUGAUCGAUGAUUGACUGAUUAAAGGAAAAGAAAACAAUAUGUUAUGUGAGAGACUUUAGGACGGUAAUAGCAUAGAUGAUGGAAAAGGAAAAUGGGACUAUAUUGUAGUAAAAUUUCUACAGUGUACAUGAAGUGAUUUCUAGUACUUGAAGACAGAAGUUAUAAGUUCAUGCUAUACAUUUUAAACCCUACGUCAACCACACACACCCCAAAAAAAUGGCAAAGGAGCAUUAAUAAACCUGUCCUGGAGACAAGAUGGCGUCAUUUAAAGCAGUCAAUCCAAGCGAAGGUAGAUAAAAAGAAAGGAGUAUACAGAAAAUGAAACAAGCAGAAAAGAUGGCAUAUUUAAAUCUAAAGAUGUAAUUAAGUACAAGUAUAUAUAGUCUACAUACUACAGUUAAAAUGGCACAUAUUUUCAUAAUUUAAAAAAGCAAGACACAACUACAUCCUCUCUACAAGAAACCUACUUCCUAUGUAAAGACACAGAUAGGUUAAAUAUAAAGAGAUAGAAGAGCUGUCCCACACAAAUACCAAUCAAAAAUGAACUGCAGGGCAGGGGAGUUAGCUCAGUGGUUCCACUGCCUGCCUCGCAAGCACAAGGACCUGAGUUGGAUCCCCAGUACCAAAAAAAAAAAAAAAAAAAACCAUGAACUGCAGUGGCUAUAUUACUAUCUAACUGAGCAGAUUUCAGAGAAAAAAAUUAUCAGAUUAUACAGAAAGAAGGAUAGUUUAACAAAAAAGAGAUUAACUCAUCAUGAG
rnacentral:lncRNA from 1 species